rnacentral:rRNA from 1 species
GGGAUAAGCCUGGGAAACUGGGUCUAAUACUGGAUACGACCGAUCUCCGCAUGGAGUGUUGGUGGAAAGUUUUUGUGGUGGGGGAUGGACUCGCGGCCUAUCAGCUUGUUGGUGGGGUAAUGGCCUACCAAGGCGACGACGGGUAGCCGGCCUGAGAGGGCGACCGGCCACACUGGGACUGAGACACGGCCCAGACUCCUACGGGAGGCAGCAGUGGGGAAUAUUGCACAAUGGGCGAAAGCCUGAUGCAGCGACGCCGCGUGAGGGAUGACGGCCUUCGGGUUGUAAACCUCUUUCACCAGGGACGAAGCUAACGUGACGGUACCUGGAGAAGAAGCACCGGCUAACUACGUGCCAGCAGCCGCGGUAAUACGUAGGGUGCGAGCGUUGUCCGGAAUUAUUGGGCGUAAAGAGCUUGUAGGCGGUUUGUCGCGUCUGCUGUGAAAGACCGGGGCUUAACUCCGGUUCUGCAGUGGGUACGGGCAGACUAGAGUGUGGUAGGGGAGACUGGAAUUCCUGGUGUAGCGGUGAAAUGCGCAGAUAUCAGGAGGAACACCGAUGGCGAAGGCAGGUCUCUGGGCCAUUACUGACGCUGAGAAGCGAAAGCAUGGGGAGCGAACAGGAUUAGAUACCCUGGUAGUCCAUGCCGUAAACGUUGGGCGCUAGGUGUGGGACUCAUUCCACGAGUUCCGUGCCGCAGCUAACGCAUUAAGCGCCCCGCCUGGGGAGUACGGCCGCAAGGCUAAAACUCAAAGGAAUUGACGGGGGCCCGCACAAGCGGCGGAAGCAUGCGGAUUAAUUCGAUGCAACGCGAAGAACCUUACCAAGGCUUGACAUACACCGGAAUCAUGCAGAGAUGUGUGCGUCUUCGGACUGGUGUACAGGUGGUGCAUGGUUGUCGUCAGCUCGUGUCGUGAGAUGUUGGGUUAAGUCCCGCAACGAGCGCAACCCUCGUUCCAUGUUGCCAGCACUUCGGGUGGGGACUCAUGGGAGACUGCCGGGGUCAACUCGGAGGAAGGUGGGGAUGACGUCAAAUCAUCAUGCCCCUUAUGUCUUGGGCUUCACGCAUGCUACAAUGGCCGGUACAGAGGGUUGCGAAACCGUGAGGUGGAGCUAAUCCCAAAAAACCGGUCUCAGUUCGGAUUGGGG